GCAGCGUGAACAAUGAGGUCAAGGUGAGCGUGACGGUGCGCCGGUCGACGGCGCUGCUGGGCGGCGCCGGCGCGGUGCAAGGAGGCGCACCUCAGGUGUUCGACGGGGUGAUGUGGUUCCUGCCGGCGGC
rnacentral:snoRNA from 18 species